rnacentral:misc_RNA from 1 species
GGGCGUUGAAAUUGGGCGAAGGAAGUGAAAAAGAAGUUGCGGCAGCAGCUCUCUCCUGAAGAUGUGGCUUCUUCUGUAUAUUCUGAUCAUUGGCGUUGGGAUGAAAGUCGGAUUCUGCAUUCAUCGGAAGCGUAGAAUCGUUCUUAGGCUUCUGAUUUUCAACAUCCUUAGGGUCAUUAGAAUCGGAGGAAAGCAUGGUAUUUUCCAGAGUUUGACUUGGAGAGCCGAUUUUAGGUCCAACAUUCUCAGCAACCGCCAUGAUGAGAGACAAGUUUAUGCAAGAAGAUCGUUGUUUUUGCAAUCUUAUUCUGAAGAGGGUGGGAAGGGCAUAUCAAUACAUUUCCAUUGGUAAACGAGGAAACCCAGCAAGAGAUCGUGGAGUGGAAGAAGUAAGAGAGCAGAAACGAAAUUGAAGAGGAUCGAAAUGAAAACGAGAAACCCUGUUGGUUUGGCCGGCGUUGAGAUCGUCGGAUUGCGGUGGAGUGGCUUUGGCUUUGGGUUUCACAGCAUCCCAG